GACGAACCGUGCGAACGUUGUUCGGAAUCACUGGGCUUAAAGGGCGCGUAGGCGGGCUGUCAAGUUUGGGGUGAAAUCCCGCGGCUCAACCGUGGAACUGCCUCAAAUACUGACGGUCUCGAGGGAGGUAGGGGCGAGCGGAACUGAUGGUGGAGCGGUGAAAUGCGUUGAUAUCUGGAGGAACACCGGUGGCGAAGGCGGCAUCCUGGACCGGCAUUGACGCUGAGGCGCGAAAGCCAGGGGAGCAAACGGG
rnacentral:rRNA from 1 species